UAGCCGUAAACGAUACUCGCUAGGUGUCGGCCACGGUGCGACCGUUGUCGGUGCCGUAGGGAAGCCGUGAAGCGAGCCACCUGGGAAGUACGGCCGCAAGGCUGAAACUUAAAGGAAUUGGCGGGGGAGCACCACAACGGGUGGAGCUUGCGGUUUAAUUGGAUUCAACGCCGGAAAUCUUACCGGGACCGGACAGCAACAUGAAGGCCAGGCUGAAGACUUUGCCGGAUUAGCUGAGAGGAGGUGCAUGGCG
rnacentral:rRNA from 1 species